GGGCCCGCACAAGCGGUGGAGCAUGUGGUUUAAUUCGAUGAUACGCGAGGAACCUUACCAGGGCUUAAAUGUAAGUUGCAUAGACCAGAGAUGGUCUUUUCUUCGGACUACUUACAAGGUGCUGCAUGGUUGUCGUCAGCUCGUGCCGUGAGGUGUCAGGUUAAGUCCUAUAACGAGCGCAACCCCUGUCGUUAGUUGCCAGCAAGUUGUGUUGGGUACUCUAGCGAGACUGCCGGUGCAAACCGAGAGGAAGGUGGGGACGACGUCAAAUCAUCACGGCCCUUACGUCCUGGGCUACACACGUGCUACAAUGGCCGGUACAGAGAGCAGCCACUACGCGAGUAGGAGCGAAUCUACAAAACCGGUCUCAGUUCGGAUCGCAGUCUGCAACUCGACUGCGUGAAGCUGGAAUCGCUAGUAAUCG
rnacentral:rRNA from 1 species